GAUGAAGAACGUAGCGAAAUGCGAUAAGUAAUGUGAAUUGCAGAAUUCAGUGAAUCAUCGAAUCUUUGAACGCACCUUGCGCCCUUUGGACAUUCCGAAGGGCAUGCCUGUUUGAGUAUCAUGAACACCUCAACUCUCACGGCUUGUCCGUGAUGAGCUUGGACUUUGGGGGUCUUGCCGGCCUGUGGUCGGCUCCUCUCAAAUGGAUCAACUUGCCAGUUUUUGGUGGCAUCACAGGUGUGAUAACUAUCUGCGCUUGUGGUUUUCCAUCAGAUAACCUUCAGUGAUAUGGAGGUUCGCUGGAGCUCACAAAUGUCUCUCCUUAGUGAGGACAGCUCUUUGAACGUUUGAUCUCAAAUCAGGUAGGACUACCCGCUGAACUUAAGCAUAUCAAUAAGCGGAGGA
rnacentral:misc_RNA from 1 species